rnacentral:rRNA from 1 species
UACGGAGGGUGCAAGCGUUAAUCGGAAUUACCGGGCGUAAAGAGUGCGUAGGUGGUUAAUUAAGUUAUCUGUGAAAUCCCUGGGCUCAACCUGGGCAGGUCAGAUGAUACUGAUUGACUCGAGUACGGGAGAGGGUAGUGGAAUUUCCGGUGUAGCGGUGAAAUGCGUAGAGAUCGGAAGGAACACCAGUGGCGAAGGCGGCUACCUGGCCUGAUACUGACACUGAGGCACGAAAGCGUGGGGAGCAAACAGG